UAAGCUUUAGUUUAAAGAGAACUAUCGACUGUUAAUCGGGGGGUAUAGAAUAUAUAAGCUUAG
rnacentral:tRNA from 1 species